GACUACCCGGGUAUCUAAGCCUGUUUGCUCCCCAUGCUUUCGUCUUUCAGAGUCAGUUUCCGUCCAGCAAGCUGCCUUCGCUCUUGGUGUUCUACCAGAUAUCUACGCAUUCCACCGCUACACCUGGUAUUCCGCUUACCUCUCCGGUACUCCAGUCCGUCAGUCUACAAGGCAAUUCCGAAGUUGAGCUUCGGGAUUUCACCCCGUAUUUAACAAACCUCCUACAGACCCUUUACGCCCAAUAAAUCCGAACAACGCUCGCCACCUACGUAUUACCGCGGCUGCUGGCACGUAGUUAGCCGUGGCUUCCUUCCCCGCUACCGUCAUUUUUCGUCACGGGAGACAGUACUUUACGACCCGAGGGCCUUCAUCAUACACGCGGCAUUGCUGGGUCACGCUUUCGCGCAUUGCCCAAGAUUCUCGACUGCAGCCCCCCGUAGG
rnacentral:rRNA from 1 species